rnacentral:rRNA from 1 species
UACGUAGGCAGCAAGCGUUGUUCGGAGUUACUGGGCGUAAAGGGCGCGUAGGUGGCUCUAUAAGUAUGGUGUGAAAUCUCCCGGCUUAACUGGGAGGGUGCGCCGUAGACUGUCGGGCUUGAGUAUGGGAGAGGUGAGUGGAAUUUCCGGUGUAGCGGUGAAAUGCGUAGAUAUCGGAAGGAACACCUGUGGCGAAAGCGGCUCACUGGACCAUUACUGACGCUGAGGCACGAAAGCUAGGGGAGCAAACAGG